rnacentral:rRNA from 1 species
GACGAACGCUGGCGGCGUGCCUCAUACAUGCAAGUCGAACGCAGUGGGGACGGGUGAGUAACACGUGGGUAACCUCCCAUCAGAGGGGAUAACACUUGGAAACAGGUGCUAAAACGAUACUGAUGGAUGAACCCGCGGUGCAUUAGCUAGUUGGUGAGGUAACGGCUCACCAAGGCCCCGAUGCAUAGCCGACCUUGCAGGGUGAUCGGCCACACUGGGACUCAGACGCGGCCCAGACUCCUACCGGAGGCAGCAGUAGGUAAUCUUCGGCAAAGGACGGAAGUCUGACCGAGCAAAGCCGCGUGAGUGAAGAAGGUUUUCGGAGCAUAGAGCUCUGUUGUUAGAGAAGCGGUAACUAACCAGAAAGGAACGGCUAACUACGUGCCAGCAGCCGCGGUAAUUC